UGCGUCUUAUCAUAAUUCAUGGGAGAUCUAAACGGUGUCGUGCUGAUUGUUUAGAGCAGAAGCGAAGCAUAGUCUCAAUCUCUCUCUCUCUCUCUCUCUCUCUCUCUCUCUCCGUGUCUUCACCAGCAGCCGGUUCGUUACUGCGCUGCAACUGCAAACAGAAGAGCAGUACAACUUCGAUGCGAGCUAAAACCGGGGUUGUAGGAGUUGAGUUGCUUGCAGGAAAAUGCAUCUUCCUUUGACAUUGCACAGGCAUCUAAUAUGUGCUAAAUCGUCCCAGUCCUGUAUAAAGCUGUGAAGCGGAAGGCAAAUUUUGAACAAAGUAACAAACUUAAAGGAAGGCUUCAGACAUUAAGGAAGGAAGCUGCUGAGAGAAGCCCCGAGGACUAAAGAGAAGAAUUUUAUGUGAGCUUAACAAACAAAGUGGGAGGUGUUGUCUGAAACUCUCCUAGAUUCUGAAUUUAGAUUCUAUACAACUUUAUGUUGUGGCGUAGUGAACAUAGAAUGGCCUUUGAGGGAUGAUCUGGAUUGCAGUUCAUUGCAUAUUGUGCUAUGAUAUAGUGUCUGUCAUUUUUUCUUGGGAGGGAAAAAUAAUUUGAUUCCCUGUAGAAAGCUUGUAAAAGAUCAUGAACUUUAGAUUAAUCUGUUUGUACAAUUGCUGGGAGACAUUAAUUGUGUCAUUUCAGGUUAUUAAUUGAGUUAUAAAUAUCAUUUGCUAUGGUUCCAUUUGUUGAAUAGAA